rnacentral:lncRNA from 1 species
AAAAAAUUGAGACUCAAAACUUUCCACCUGAAAUUUUGUAUUGCAACCUGUGAUUAUUCAUGCACAUGCAAUCCUAUUGCGGCCAUUUCGUAUGAUGAAAAUCAGAUGGCGCAGAAGAAAUUUGAGAUGAUUUGAUUGCUGCACGGUACGAUCUUGUUCAGUCCUUUCUCUCCGAACUUAGGAUUUACUAUUAGUUAUUUAUUUUGGUUGAUUUCGUCGGUUCCUUUCAUAGAUUCUUGCUUCUGUUUUCUUAUUGUUGAUUGUGUUUAAAUGUGGGUUGAUUUUGUACUUGGAAAAGAUGAUAUUAGGGGAAUGUGUUAGCUCUUUCGCUGGAUAUGCAUAUUGGGGGUGGAUCUGAGGUUUCUGAUUAUGAACUUCUUUGAGAUUUUCGUUUGUCAUAAUUGAGGGCCUGCAUAUAUUAUGUUACUAUAUAUAGGUGGCGUAGUCGAAAAUUGAAUUGCCUUUAAAAUCAUUGCACGUUUUUUAAUUGGUGGAACACAAGUGUAUUAUUAUAGAUUUAUAUUCAGACAAGUUCAUUUGCUAAUGAGUGACUAGAGAUUGUUUCUUUCUGCAUAAUGUUGGAGGUCGGUAGAAUUGAUAUUUGCAAUAAGUUUAUGCACUCUAGGUUUUAGAAGUUGUGAACCAACUUGAAGCAAACCAGAUCAUGCCAAUUUUGUUUGAAGUUGUGAUCAUUGUAAUUAAACAACAUGCCUAACAGAGAGUUUCUCAGCACUUGAUGUGUGGUAAAGGAUCCGGCAUUAAUUGUUACAUCUUUGGCAUAACAUUUACACAUACAAAAAGAGGAAUGAAAUUUAAUUUUGAAAAUCAUGCGGCUUUAAGCCUGAAAUUGUCAAUUUAUCAAAUACCUCGUAUCGCAUCUAGGAUAACAUGUAUGAGUUAGGUAGUUUGGAUUCAUUAGUAAUUGUACUGUUUUUUAUUUGCUUGGUGUAUGUGUGCCCUAAGUUUAAUUAAAUUGAUUAGCUUUCUAUUUUUGGUUAAUAAUGGAUUAAAAAGAUAAACGCAUAAUUUUAUGAAUGUUGGGUUCAUCAAAGUUCAACCUGCUAUUGAUUUCCUUCAGAAGCAAUGCAGAGUUGGUAGUAAUGCUUUUUCGAGAGAGCGGCUGCUGAGACUUUGCUGCACGAGAACUCUGAGCACGUAGGGCUAAUUAACUAGGCUAUGAUUGGGGAAUAAAUGUGGAGGUUAUGUUACUGCCUAUUUGAUGAGGAAUUCCUUAUGUUACUGGUCGUCUACUCAAUGAGGAAUUGCCUAGUACUUGUAUGCUCCCUUUAAUUUAAUAGCUAAAUUUGAUAUGAACUUGUGGUAAACAACUUUGCAUUAGUUGAAAAGGAAAAACUGGUGUGUAACUGAUAUAAAAGAGUGCACAUUAGUAAAGCUGUGCUACUUGGUGUUUUAUGAAACCAACACCUAAAACUAUAAAGUGAAAUCAUAAACUAUACCUAGUGCGAUUGACUGAAGAAGACGAAGUGAAUGGUCGGAAACUUUGCACUAGAGGAAAAUAGCUGUUAUAUUCAAAAGUAUCAGAUAGCGUGCCGGUAAUACAUGAGCUGAGGUCUAUUUAUAGAUUACAAUUGAGGGUAAAAAGGUAAAAUCAUUAUCCACGCAUGCUCCUUGCAUGGUCGGAGGGUAUAACAGUAACUUCGUCUUUACGCGGGAGAUCUUCCCGCGCCUUCUAGCAUUUCUCUGGCAGGGAUGAUUCCUCUGGUGACGAUGACUCCUCUGGCGAAGAUGACUUCUCUGACGAAGAUGACUCCUCUGGCGAAGGAUGACUCCUCUGGCGAUAGUGACUUCUCUGAGGAAGAUGACUUCUCUGAUGAUGGUGACUUCUCUGAUGGAAUUGACUUCUCUGGUAAGUGUAUCUCUUCUGCCAGGGGGAUGAAAUCCCUAUGGUGAGAAUGAUUCUUCUGACCAGUAUAACUCCUCUGAUGAGGAUGAUUCCUCUGAUUUGUAUCCUUUCCCUACUCUGCACAUAUCACUCCUCAUCAACCACUCCCCCCUCUAGUCUGGUUGAACCGGGUAGUCUUCGCGUUCAACCAGUAGAGUACUGUGAAAGCAGCUGCUAUGAUGUUUCCCUGAUCCCUGCAAAUCAUGAAGAUAUAAACACUCUAAUAUUACACGAAAAUAAGUAAGUCCUGUAAGUUGCUCUCUGGUGUUUUGUCACUCCCCCCCGGUCUGGCUAGUUCACUUCUGGAAUAGUGCAACUAGUCAGAGGAUUCGCCCGCAUGGAUGACGUCACCUGCAUUAAAUGCCUGCCCGAUCUACAGUGCUUUUUCCCGUACCCCGAGGUUACUUUUUAACCUUUGCGUCUUUUCGCCUUUCCGUAGGGAUUUNUGGCCGUUGAUUUAUUUCCGUAUGCCACGUGUCGGGCAUCCCGCAUAUUGGUAGUUGCCCGCGUACAUUUUACUUAGUCGAUUCGAACUCCCAUUUUUCACUAUUCUUCUUCUCCAGUUUCCAAACUCCUUACCUGCAAAUUCCGGCAAUUCUCUCCCUGUUCCGGCGUAUCUCCUGCGACACCUCCGCUUCAGGUUUUAUCAUCAAUCUUUCUCUGCCCUAGGUAAUUCGCGCAUCUUCUUCUCCCCCAGUAUUUGUGAUAGGUAAGUAGUUUUGAAUUUGUUGGUGCUCUGAUUGAACGUGCUUAGAACCCUAGGUGCUAGGAUUGGUACAAUGGCCUCCACUUCCGCUCCUCAGCCCUCGCGGUCGCCUUCCCCAUCUUCCCGAGCCUCUUCAUCUUCUUCACCCCAACUCCAGGAUCUCGAGAAUUUCCUUUCCCCCUCUGCUUCUUAUGACUCUCAAAUUGUCCCUGAUCCCUCACCACCUAAGAAGAGGGGUAAGAAGACACCUCAACCUCCCAAGCGUGUUCCUGCCUCCCGUCUUGGCGUCGCGGAAGUGGAAAAAUUGAAGAGCAAGUGUCGACACCCUGAAAGUUUACAAUUCGUAGCCUUUUCUAAAGACUCAACGCCCCCCGAGAGCCUUCGUCACCACAAAGUGAUAGUCAUCUGGCAAGCCCAGAUAAAUGCUGGUCUAAGGCUUCCUCCCCCUGCCCUUUUAGUCAGUGUUUGUAACCACUAUCGCAUCCCCUUUUACCAAGUUACUCCUUCCGCCAUCCGGCGGUUAUACGCUUUCCAUAUUCUUUGCCGCGCCCACGGUGUUGGAGACACCGGUAAAUUAUUUUGUCAAACCCAGACUCUCCGCAUGCAGGGCAGUCCCCUGUAUAGCUUCGCCGCUCAUCCGAAACAUCCCACCACUUUCCUUUCAUCCUUGAAUUCCUUUGAUAAGGGCUUUCUAUACAAUUACUGCUAUGUGCGCACCCUUGUCGGCAAUUGGCAUGAUUACCAUGUUUUGGAACUAGAAUGGCAUGGCUCCCGGACUACCUAUAGGCCUGCCUCCCUAGAAGCUCCCUCCAAUUUUGACUUAGGGGUUAUAGCCCAUUUGAACGCUAUGAACGAAGCCCAGCCUUUAGACUGUAGAUACCUUGCUGAGAACAAUUCGGCUCUGGCAUACAAUGGCCUAUUUCCCCUAUAUCCAAAGAAAUCGAUAGGUAAAAGAUAUAAUUUAGAAAAAUAUAUUAACUUUUGUUACCCGGAUGCUAAAUGAUGUAGUGUUUUAAAUUGCAGACAUGUCUUGGAGAAAGAAAUGUGGGGACAAUUUGCCUGUCGUUGCUUCUCCCACUCGCAGCGGGGAGCAUGGUACCGGGGGUUCUGCUUCUGGGACAGGCUCCUUAGAACAGCCAAUUGGGGUCGAGCUGGUCGCCCUCCCUCCGGUGGUAGAAAUCCCAGAGGGGAAUGUGGAAGCCUCUCGUGCAUUUGAUGCAGGAGAGGUUGAUGCGGGCGCUCUUGUUCACAAGGGUAAACGUCCCNAAAAUAUAAUACUUUAUAUUAAACGAAGAUAAAUAUUUAUAUUAACAUAAGUAUAUAUUUGUGCCAAUAAAUGUAUAUUUUGUAUUUAUUUAGGGUUUAGUAUUCAAGGUUUAGGGUUUAGUAUUCACUAUUUAGGGUUUAGUAUUCAAGUGUUUAGGUAAUUACAAGUUCUAGAAUGACAGGAAAUACUUAUAGAAACAUAAUUAAGUAUGCAUUUGUACAAAGAAAUGUAUAUACUAGCCUAAAUAAAAGUAAAUAUUUCCAUUAGGGUUUAGCAUUCAAGGGUUAGGGUUUAGUAUUCAUUAUUUAGGGUUUAGUAUUCAGUGUUCAGGUAAUUACAAAAUAUAGAAUGACAGGAAAUACUUAUAGAAACAUAAGUAUACAUUUGUACAAACAAAUGUAUAUGUUAGACUACAUAAAAGUAAAUAUUUCCAUUAGGGUUUAAUAUUCAUUAUUUAGGGUUUAGUAUUCAAGGUUUAAGGUUUAGUAUUCACUAUUUAGGGUUUAGUAUUCAGUGUUCAGGUAAUUACAAAAUAUAGAAUGACAGGAAAUACUUAUAUUAACAUAAGUAUAUAUUUGUGCUAAGUGCUAACAAAUGUAUAUUUUAUACUUAUUAAAAGUAACUAUUGUCUUACUAAAAAGUAAUUAUUCAUAUGAAGAAAUGUAAUAUUUCAAAAUUAUUACUUUUUUCAAAAAAAUGUUAUUUUUACUUACGAAAACUUGUAAUUUUAAUGACUUGGUCAAGUAAUUAUAGUUGUAAGAAAAAAUAACCAUUGAUAUGAAUAAAGGUAAUUUUUUAUAAAAAAUGAAAUAAAUGAAAAAAAAGUAUAUAUAAAAUGUUAAAAAGAAAAAAUUAAACGAAAAAGCAAAAGAAAAUAAAUAAAACACUUUACUAAAGUAAUUAUUAUUGUAAUAAAAAUUAACCAUUGAUAUGACAAAAAAAAUAUACAGUAUAAAUGUAAUAACAGAAAAAAAAAAGCAAUAAGAAACACAAAAAAUGCUAAUGCAAAAAGAAUCAUUUAUAAUAGAAAAAAAAAAGGAAAAAAAGAAAAAAAAAAACGACUAAUGCAAAAAGGAAAAUAGAAAAAAAUGGGAAAAAAAAUGUUGCUGAGAAGAUUCGAACCUUGGUAGAUAAGACAGGGAAAACUUUCCCCCACCACUACACCACAUCUAACUUUGUAAUUAAGAAGGAAACAGUUUUGAUAUACUAUUCGAGCCCAGAUCCGCCCAUCCCACACCAUAACCCGCCAGACCCGCGCCCAAACUCACCCGACCCGACCCGACCCGCGCCCCGACCCGUCUCAUGGGGUGAGGUUGACCUCACCCAAGACCAACUCUUUUAUGAAUGUUGGGUUCAUCAAAGUUCAACCUGCAAUUGAUUUCCUUCAGAAGCAAUGCAGAGUUGGUAGUAAUGCUUUUUCGAGAGAGCGGCUGCUGAGACUUUGCUGCACGAGAGCUCUGAGAGCACGUAGGGAUAAUUAACUAGGCUAUGAUUGGGGAAUAAAUGUGGAGGUUAUGUUAUUGCCUAUUUGAUGAGGAAUUCCUUAUGUUACUGGUCGUCUACUCAAUGAGGAAUUGCCUAGUACUUGUAUGCUCCCUUUAAUUUAAUAGCUAAAUCUGAUAUGAACUUGUGGUAAACAACUUUGCAUUAGUUGAAAAGGAAAAACUGGUGUGUAACUGAUAUAAAAGAGUGCACAUUAGUAAAGCUGUGUUACUAGAUCUAUCAGAAGCUUUUUUCUUUGUACUUCAUAUAUAAAAAGCACACAAGUGAAUCGUGGCCUCUGAUGCUCAGAAUUUCAGAAAUGACGAAUGUAUCAUUAGGUUAAUACAUAGGCAUUGGUAUGGGAUCCUACCUCCAUAAAGUGUAUGGUUUUGUUUAGAUGAGCUGAAAAUUGUAAAGAGAAAUAGGUUAAGGAACUAGCCAGAGGAAUUGUUGGUUUGGCUGAAAGGGAUCACCAAGAACGAAGAAGCCAUGUUCUUAUGAUAUUUUUUUAUCCCUUUUUAUUUACAUGUAUUUCUUGCUUAAAUCAUAUAGAAUGAAUGACAUAUCUCCCCUCAUUAGCAUCCUAAUUCUGGAUCAUCUUUUGUUGUAUCCAUGUAACCUAAAAUUUAACUAGCAAGAAGUCGAACUCUAGAUACCUACUUGUAUGCAUGUGUCGUAGUCUAUCAUGGAUGGUAACUGAAAGGACUGUGUAGAGGUGUGAAUUCAUAAAUACAUCUUUGCAUGGAAGACUAUAAUGAAAUAACAAGACUUUGAGGAUAGCUUAGCAUAUUCUGCAUGAAGCUGUUAAAGUUUGUUGUGUGCGUUUAGAGUCAGUUUUCUUUCUCUUGGCAGCUGAUCUUGGAAGUCUGUUUAAUUAGAGGGAUGAGUUAGAGCAACUUAAAAUCUCAAGUUAGAGAGAGCUUCUUCUUGCCCAAUCUUGUAACCUUUUUUCAUCGUCAUUGAUUGUGAAGAUUCUCAGCCGACUUCCCGUGGAUGUAGGUUCAUUUGAGGCGAACCACGUAAACCUUCGUCUCGUUUAAAUUUCUUCAUUAGAGUUAUAAUUAUGGUUCGUUGUUAUCUUGAUUUGGAUUUUUGACAAACAUGAUUUUCAUACCUCAAUUCCACAUGAUUUGUUGUCAUUUCCCUUCAUAUUUUUCUUGCCAAUGCGUGUUUGUACCCUAAUGUUGAGUUUUAUGAAGAUUUGAUUCCUUGGUGUAGUUUUGGAGUGAUUUCAGGAAAAAUCAAGGAUUAAUUGAAGGACUUUGAAGACAUGAGAUUGAAGUACGUCUCGAGAGGAAUCCAUGAGCGCAAACGA